GGAGAGAUGGCUGAGUGGCCGAAGGCACCCGCCUGGAAAGCGGGUAGGUGGGUUAAAACCCGCCUCGCGGGUUCGAAUCCCGCUCUCUCCGCCA
rnacentral:tRNA from 1 species